rnacentral:rRNA from 1 species
GGUUGCGAUCAUACCAGCACUAAUGCACCGGAUCCCAUCAGAACUCCGUAGUUAAGCGUGCUUGGGCGGGAGUAGUACUAGGAUGGGUGACCCCCUGGGAAGUCCUCGUGUUGCAACCCCCG